AGCCUCCCAAUGCUUACCACAGGCUGUGUUCUUUACACUUACUGUAUAGAAAGAGGAGGUAUAGUAAAUGCACCCCAUAUACACCUCAACCCAGGACCUUUGCCAGGACUCUAUUGCGAAUGGGGGGACAAAA